rnacentral:rRNA from 2 species
UUUUAUGGAGAGUUUGAUCCUGGCUCAGGAUGAACGCUGGCGGCGUGCCUAAUACAUGCAAGUCGAGCGAACGGACGAGAAGCUUGCUUCUCUGAUGUUAGCGGCGGACGGGUGAGUAACACGUGGAUAACC